rnacentral:rRNA from 1 species
CAGCCGCCACGGGAAUACAGAGGGUGCGAGCGUUAAUCGGAUUUACUGGGCGUAAAGCGUGCGUAGGCGGCUUUUUAAGUCGGAUGUGAAAUCCCCGAGCUUAACUUGGGAAUUGCAUUCGAUACUGGUUAGCUAGAGUGUGGGAGAGGAUGGUAGAAUUCCAGGUGUAGCGGUGAAAUGCGUAGAGAUCUGGAGGAAUACCGAUGGCGAAGGCAGCCAUCUGGCCUAAUACUGACGCUGAGGUACGAAAGCAUGGGGAGCAAACAGGAUUAGAUACCCCAGUAGUCCCUGUCUCUUAUAA